AGUGAACGCUGGCGGCAGGCCUAACACAUGCAAGUCGAACGGCAGCACAGUAAGAGCUUGCUCUUACGGGUGGCGAGUGGCGGACGGGUGAGGAAUACAUCGGAAUCUACUUUUUCGUGGGGGAUAACGUAGGGAAACUUACGCUAAUACCGCAUACGACCUACGGGUGAAAGCAGGGGUUCUUCGGACCUUGCGCGAAUGAAUGAGCCGAUGUCGGAUUAGCUAGUUGGCGGGGUAAAGGCCCACCAAGGCGACGAUCCGUAGCUGGUCUGAGAGGAUGAUCAGCCACACUGGAACUGAGACACGGUCAAGACUCCUACGGGAGGCAGCAGUGGGGAAUAUUGGAAAAUGGGGGCAAGCCUGAUCCAGCCAUACCGCGUGGGUGAAGAAGGCCUUCGGGUUGUAAAGCCCUUUUGUUGGGAAAGAAGAGCAGCAGGUUAAUACCCCGCUGUUCUGACGGUACCCAAAGAAUAAGCACCGGCUAACUUCGUG
rnacentral:rRNA from 1 species